AGGAUGAUCCAGUUCUAUUAAUAUUGGAUAAUCACAUAAGCAAUAUAUAUCAUAUCCUGUUUUAGAUUAUUGCAGACGUAAUGGGAUAAUUAUCUUCACUUUGCCGCCACACACAUAACACGUAUUGCAACCACUCGACAAGGGAAAAAGGAACACCGUGAUUGGAUGAAACUGCAUCCUGGACAGAGAAUUGGAGUUUAUGAUAUCCCAAAAUUAACAAGAGGACCGUAUACCCGGAGAUUCAAUCAACAAAACAUAAAUCAUUUUCUGCUUGCGGUAUAUAUCCUUUCAAUAGACAGGCAAUUCCGGAAAAUAUGUUCGUCCCUUCAUGUGUUAGAGAUCUACCUGCAGCAAUGCCAACCGUAGCCGAAACAGCACCAUUAACAGAGAGUCAGUUUACGAUCAUAAUCUUCAUCAUUUGAGUAAUUUACCCAUUGAAAUUAACGCAUCUCAUGUGUCAGUGUACCAGGCACCAUUGAAUAUUGCGUCGAAAUAUGUUUUGGGCGUUAAUUAUUCUACUUGCAAAGUUACAUUGACUUCAUCUCAAACACCUCCUACUACUCUUUCGCCAUCAAAUGAAGGCCUUGUUCAAUCUGUGAGUCAAGAUGACGUAAGAUGUCAAACAGAACAAAAUCCUUCGACUUCAAAUAAUGUUCAGUGUCCAUGUUUUACCAAAGAGCAAAGUUAAUGACAGCAAUUAGCUACUCCGUCGACUUCCGAUGGAGUACCUGGUACACAUUUAACACCAGAGAAAGUUGUACCUCAUCCAAGGGUAGCUCAAACUGGACCGGGACUUUCAAAAAAUAGGAAUAGAGGGGCUUCUCGUGUCUUGACUAAUUCUCCAGAGAUUGCAAAACUUAAAGACACCUAUGAUUUAGAAGUAUUGAAAGAAACAAACCGGCUAUUGAAGGAAUCAAUUAUUCGUCCAAAGAAAAUGCAGAAAAAAGAUUCAGGUGGAAAGGCGGAAGCGAAAUUAAGACUUUCUGAAACUAAAUCACAAUUAGCUGCCAAGAAAACUAGGAAUACAGCAAAGAAAACAAAUGUGACGUAUUGGAAAACUAAUGAGGAAGAUAUUUCUCCCGUGGACGAUAACUACAUCCCUCAUAAUCGCGUUGCCACUAAUUAUACAAACCAAACCACAAUGAAACUUCGUUCAGUCAACCGUCAGCUUUUUUUUAAUUUUGAUUAUUAAUACAAUUUUUUAGUCCAGUCAAAUCCAGUCAAUCAAUGGGAACAUUCCAAAAAACGGUAAUGUCCCACCUAUAACCCCUGUCCCAAAUAGCCCCGGUCUCCCCUACCUUCAGUGAUGUCAUCGUUUAUGCUUUGUUUUAUAUCAGUCAGUUUUUGUCUUAAUCUUAUCUCAAAAACUUCACAUUUCAAGGGUAUUUCGUAACAAGCCGGUGAAAAUUUCUCAGUGAUUACAUGAACAACAAUUUUAAACAAGAUGAUUUGAGUAUUUUUAUUUUAAAGGUUCUGUAUUACUCUUAGCUAGUGGUACUCAUUCACUUACUGUCCGCAGUGUAAGAUAAGAAGUGAUAUAACAUCAUCCUAUAUCUCAAUUGAAAACAUUCAAACAACUUCAGACAACAAAUGG